rnacentral:rRNA from 1 species
ACGUAGGGUGCGAGCGUUAAUCGGAAUUACUGGGCGUAAAGCGUGCGCAGGCGGUUCGUUGUGUCGGUGGUGAAAGCCCCGGGCUCAACCUGGGAAUGGCCAUGGAAACUGGCGAACUGGAGUGUGGCAGAGGGGGGUGGAAUUCCGCGUGUAGCAGUGAAAUGCGUAGAUAUGUGGAGGAAUACCGAUGGCGAAGGCAGCCCCCUGGGAUAACACUGACGCUCAUGCACGAAAGCGUGGGGAGCAAACAGGA